rnacentral:lncRNA from 1 species
UUUUAAAAAAAAUUUAGUUUCGAUUUAAAAUAAAUUUUACCUCGUUAAAAAAUUACUCCUAUACUAUAUAUUAUAUAUUAUUAAUAUAUAAUAUUGUUAGCAUAUUAUAUACAUUUUUAUUAUAAAUAAACAUUUUUAAAGUAUAUUAUAAAAUAUUUUUAAAAUAUAUAAUGUAAUAUAAUAUAACAUUAUAUAUUUAAUACUAGGCCAAUUUGCAUAAAAAAUCCACUUAUUUUGAGCUUUUGCAAAAUCGGGCCAUCUUUUUGGCUUUUGCAGAUUCGGUCCGCUUUUUCAGCAAACUGACCAAAAUACCCUUAUACCUUUUUCUCUUUCCUCUUUCUCUCUCCUUUUUUUUUCUCUCGUUCUUUUUUCUUUUUCUUCCCAGAGAGCGGCGAAGACGGAGCGGAGGUGCCCUUAUACCUUUUACUUUUCUCUUUUUCUCUCGUUCUUUUUUUUCUUUCUCUUCCCAGAGAGCGGCGAAGACAGAGCGACGUCGCCGCCGACGCCCCCACCUUCCUCGCCUCCGAUCCCCCU